GGACGGGUGAGUAAUGCCUAGGAAUCUGCCUGGUAGUGGGGGACAACGUUUCGAAAGGAACGCUAAUACCGCAUACGUCCUACGGGAGAAAGCAGGGGACCUUCGGGCCUUGCGCUAUCAGAUGAGCCUAGGUCGGAUUAGCUUGUUGGUGAGGUAAUGGCUCACCCAGGCGACGAUCCGUAACUGGUCUGAGAGGAUGAUCAUUCACACUGGAACUGAAACACGGUCCAGACUCCUACGGGAGGCAGCAGUGGGGAAUAUUGGACAAUGGGCGAAAGCCUGAUCCAGCCAUGCCGCGUGUGUGAAGAAGGUCUUCGGAUUGUAAAGCACUUUAAGUUGGGAGGAAGGGCAGUAAGAUAAUACCUUGCUGUUUUGACGUUACCGACAGAAUAAGCACCGGCUAACUCUGUGCCAGCAGCCGCGGUAAUACAGAGGGUGCAAGCGUUAAUCGGAAUUACUGGGCGUAAAGCGCGCGUACGUGGUUCGUUAAGUUGGAUGUGAAAGCCCCGGGCUCAACCUGAGAACUGCAUCCAAAACUGGCAAGCUAGAGUACGGUAGAGGGUGGUGGAAUUUCCUGUGUAGCGGUGAAAUGCAUAGAUAUAGAGAAGGAACACCAGUGGCGAAGGCGACCACCUGCACUGAUACUGACACUGAUGUGCGAAAGCGUGGGGAGCAAACAAGAUUAGAUACCCUGGUAGUCCACGCCACACACGAUGUCAACUACCCGUUGG
rnacentral:rRNA from 1 species